UCAUAAUAGCGUUGUUUAAGUAUCCUGAAACGGGCUUUUCAGAACAAUGUCAGCAUUUAAAAUCUUAGGAGUGCAUAGUGGCCCGUAUAGCAGGCAUUAACAUUCCUGAU
rfam:Secondary endosymbiont of Heteropsylla cubana chromosome, complete genome.